rnacentral:lncRNA from 1 species
CGAGAGGAGGACGACGACGAGGAUGCAGAUGACGACGAGUCUGACAAUAUGGGUGAGGAGGACACCGAUGAGGACGACGACGACGACUCCGGUGAAGAUGAAGACGUGGAAGACAUGGAAGCCGACGAGCAUGAUAACGAAGAUGGCGAUGGUGAUGGUG